UCAGAGCACUGUGUUUUUAUGCAGUUUCACAAGCACUGAUAGAGAAACAAAGCAGUCUUCAUUACCACUCAAAUCUGUCUUGACUCAGCACACCGUGGCUGAAUAAGGCAUCCAUCCUCAGUUCUGGGAAGAGUGAUCAUUACUGUGGCCCUGAAAAGGGACGYGCUGGAGUUCUGGUGUUGCUGUGGAUCCAAGGCUCUAUUCUUGUGCCUCUCCUCUAAGUUCUWUCUGCAUCUUGCUGUGCCUUAAAUGCAUUUGCAGGGUUUGGGGUCCUGUGUAGCUCAAAGCAUUGAAGUUGCAUCUUCUGUGGCCUCAGUGAGAGUUUUGAGAAGGCUCGUGACCACAUUCCCUCUGCUGUCUCUUCCUUUGGCAGAACGAAACCAAGCAGUGUUUUCAUUCUGUGUACAAAGGAGCUGUGCCUUUGUCAGCAGAGAUGCUGGAGCUGCCUUUCUUUGGCACGCGUGGAGAAGCCCUCAGCACAAGAGAAGAAUCAUUCCAGAAGAGAAGAAUCAUUCCAGAAGAGAAGAAACAUUCCAGAAUCAUGCUGUUGGAGGGCCAGCACAAGAAGUUAAAAAGAAAAGCUUUGGAAGGACUUUCUUCAGGACAAGUGAGGAAGCAGCUGUUUGCCAUGAGAAAAAGCCCCUAAAUUUGUGCUUCCUGAGCUAGGAAAUAGCUGCUGCUGCUGCUGCCACCGCUGCUGUUUCUGCAGACAUUUCUUGUGGCCUGGGAGAUGACACUGUGGCACAAAAGGCUGGAGGACAGCACCGGGGUGGGGAUGGGAGACCAGGCAARGUCAUGUGGCUCUGACUCACUGGAAGAUAUUUUUCAAAACCUUUAYAGAGACUGUAUGUCCAACAAUCCGUGCCAAGCCCUGGAAGAAAUCUGCCCUGUGUUAUGCUUUCCUUGAAAGAAGGGUGGAAGGAGCAAAUGCUGUGGGAAUGUCGGUCAGCAAAGCCUGUGAAACUGGUUGCUGUGCCACAAGGAUGGGACAUUUUGCUGUUUCUGCGAAUCUGAGAGCAAAAUCACUGCAAUCCAGUGAUGGGAUCUCAGUGUGGCAGUGUGGGCACUCAGCUAAAGCUGUCUAUGGAGGGCUGGACAGGAGAGAGGGCUGCCCUUGGCAUGAGAGCCCGAAUGUCACAGAAUCAUGGAAUAUCCUGAGYUGGGAGGGACCCACAGGGAUCAUUGAUCCAGACCCCCCAACAAUCCCACCCUGAGCAUCCCUGGCAGCGCUGUCCGAACGCUCCUGGAGCUCUGGCAGCCUCGGGGCCGGGACCAUUCCCUGGGGAGCCUGGGCAGUGCCAGCACCCUGUGGGCACACAAGAACCUUUCCCUGCUCUCCAGCCGGAGCCUGGCCUGGCCCUGUGCAGCCAUGGCAGCCCUGUCCCUGUCCCAGCAGAGCUCAGGGCCGGCCCCUGCUCUGCCCCUCAGCAGGAGCUGCAGCUGCCAUGUCUCCCCUCAGGCUGCUGCAGCCCAACAGAGCCCGUGCCCUCAGCCGCUCCUCAGCAGCUUCCCCUCACGGCCCUCGCCACCCUCGUGCCCUCCUUUGGACACUCUCCCGUGCCUUUCUGGCUUUGUGCCAUGGUGGCACCCASAAGUGCCCACAGGAUUGGAGCUGAGGCCGGCCCGGCCCAGAGCAGAGCGGGACAAUCCCUCCCAGGCCCGGCCGGCCAUGCUGUCCCUGCUGGCCCAGGACAGGGCUGUCCCUGCYGGCCC